rnacentral:rRNA from 1 species
GAGCGGUAUUGUUUCUUCGGAAACGAGAGAGCGGCGCACGGGUGCGGAACACGUGUGCAACCUGCCUUUAUCUGGGGGAUAGCCUUUCGAAAGGAAGAUUAAUACCCCAUAAUAUUUUGAAUGGCAUCAUUUAAAAUUGAAAACUCCGGUGGAUAGAGAUGGGCACGCGCAAGAUUAGAUAGUUGGUAGGGUAACGGCCUACCAAGUCAGUGAUCUUUAGGGGGCCUGAGAGGGUGAUCCCCCACACUGGUACUGAGACACGGACCAGACUCCUACGGGAGGCAGCAGUGAGGAAUAUUGGACAAUGGGUGAGAGCCUGAUCCAGCCAUCCCGCGUGAAGGACGACGGCCCUAUGGGUUGUAAACUUCUUUUGUACAGGGAUAAACCUUUCCACGUGUGGAAAGCUGAAGGUACUGUACGAAUAAGCAUCGGCUAACUCCGUG